UACGUAGGGCGCGAGCGUUGUCCGGAAUUAUUGGGCGUAAAGAGCUCGUAGGUGGUUUGUUACGUCUGCUGUGAAAACCUAGGGCUUAACCCUGGGCCUGCAGUGGAUACGGGCAGACUAGAGGUAGGUAGGGGAGAAUGGAAUUCCCGGUGUAGCGGUGAAAUGCGCAGAUAUCGGGAGGAACACCGGUGGCGAAGGCGGUUCUCUGGGCCUUACCUGACACUGAGGAGCGAAAGCGUGGGGAGCGAACAGG
rnacentral:rRNA from 1 species